rnacentral:lncRNA from 1 species
AGCCGUAGUGCCUCCUUCCUAUGGAAACUUGAAACCUAUGGUUUUCAAGUUUUGAUUUCACAUUUUGAGCAUUUCUUGUUUCAUAUCAAUUGUCUAAGGGGCAUAUAGUUCCAAGUGCUUCAAUCAAAGUCAUGGUUUAUUUUGAUUUGAAAGCAAUGAAAAAGGCAGUUAAAUAUAUGAUCUAGUAGAGGAGACAUUGCCCAUAUUUGGAGAUUAAACAAUUGUCUCAAACUCAAGUCAUUCCUGCAAAGU